GGAAAAGGAAGUGCGAAUAAGCAGGGGUCACAUGAGAGUCUCCCGGCCUCUAGAGGGGAGCAUCCAAAAACAUGGCCCCAGGAUUAGGGGGAUGUUCUGUCAUGUCUAGACAACAGGACACAAAAGGCUUCACCCAUGUGGCUGAACACUGAAGCUCAGGAUUUCACAUCCUCCUCCCUGACACACACGUCCUGCCAGGUCACCCAGAGUCCUUGCCACCUGCCCUGAACCAGGUCUGAUUAGCAUGGUGUCAUCAAUAUGGCCGGCACUACACUGGCAAGACCACUGGUGUCCCUUUAGACACUGCCCAUUUAGACCUUGUCCACUAUGGGCUAUAACAACAAAUAGGAGUUAACACUAGCAAAGAAACCAUGGGCAUCAUGGCCACAUUUAGUGGCUGUCAAUCAGCUGGUGACAAACUUGCCAUCCGUCACAUGAUUCAUAUAGAGCCACAUAUCCUUGCUGUGUCUGAAGAAACUGGUCGCCAUAGUACCAUCCAGGUGAGGUGCGGCCUCCACUUCUCUCUCCAGCUCAGUGGCUUCCCCUUGGCUGUCCUUCCUCACUGCUGCCUACUCCAUGGGUCAGAGACCCAACAGCCUUGUCUGUCAGCUCUGAAGUAUCCCCACCCCAAUCUGUACCUAGGGAGGGAUUAGUGCCCACAGGGUGAGCCUGCAGCUCCACCUGACCUACUGUGGG
ensembl:lncRNA